UACGUAGGGUGCGAGCGUUGUCCGGAAUUACUGGGCGUAAAGAGCUCGUAGGUGGUUUGUCGCGUUGUCCGUGAAAACUCACAGCUUAACUGUGGGCGUGCGGGCGAUACGGGCAGACUGGAGUACUGCAGGGGAGACUGGAAUUCCUGGUGUAGCGGUGGAAUGCGCAGAUAUCAGGAGGAACACCGGUGGCGAAGGCGGUUCUCUGGGCCUGACCUGACGCUGAGGAGCGAAAGCGUGGGGAGCGAACAGG
rnacentral:rRNA from 1 species